rnacentral:rRNA from 1 species
UACGUAGGGUGCGAGCGUUAAUCGGAAUUACUGGGCGUAAAGCGUGCGCAGGCGGUUCGUUGUGUCGGCGGUGAAAGCCCCGGGCUUAACCUGGGAAUGGCCGUUGAAACUGGCGAACUGGAGUGUGGCAGAGGGGGGGUGGAAUUCCGCGUGUAGCAGUGAAAUGCGCAGAUAUCAGGAGGAACACCGAUGGCGAAGGCAGCUCGCUGGGACGGUACUGACGCUGAGGCGCGAAAGCGUGGGGGAGCAAACAGG